rnacentral:rRNA from 1 species
CAAUAGCGUAUAUUUAAGUUGUUGCAGUUAAAAAGCUCGUAGUUGGAUUUCGGAUGGACUUGACCGGUCCGCCGUUUGGUGUGCACUGGUCGUGCCUAUCUUGCUGCCGGGGACGCGCUCCUGGCCUUAAUUGGCUGGGACGCGGAGUCGGCGAUGUUACUUUGAAAAAAUUAGAGUGUUCAAAGCAGGCCUAAGCUCUGAAUACAUUAGCAUGGAAUAACGCUAUAGGACUCUGGUCUUAUUGCGUUGGUCUUCGAGACCGGAGUAAUGAUUAAGAGGGACAGUUGGGGGCAUUCGUAUUUCAUUGUCAGAGGUGAAAUUCUUGGAUUUAUGAAAGACGAACUUCUGCGAAAGCAUUUGCCAAGGAUGUUUUCAUUAA